rnacentral:rRNA from 1 species
CAAAGGUGAGCCAGUACAGGAUGGACCCGCGUCUGAUUAGCUAGUUGGUAAGGUAACGGCUUACCAAGGCGACGAUCAGUAGCCGACCUGAGAGGGUGAUCGGCCACAUUGGAACUGAGACACGGUCCAAACUCCUACGGGAGGCAGCAGUGGGGAAUAUUGCACAAUGGGCGAAAGCCUGAUGCAGCAACGCCGCGUGAGUGAUGAAGGCCUUCGGGUCGUAAAACUCUGUCCUCAAGGAAGAUAAUGACGGUACUUGAGGAGGAAGCCCCGGCUAACUACGUGCCAGCAGCCGCGGUAAUACGUAGGGGGCUAGCGUUAUCCGGAUUUACUGGGCGUAAAGGGUGCGUAGGCGGUCUUUCAAGUCAGGAGUGAAAGGCUACGGCUCAACCGUAGUAAGCUCUUGAAACUGGGAGACUUGAGUGCAGGAGAGGAGAGUGGAAUUCCUAGUGUAGCGGUGAAAUGCGUAGAUAUUAGGAGGAACACCAGUUGCGAAGGCGGCUCUCUGGACUGUAACUGACGCUGAGGCACGAAAGCGUGGGGAGCAAACAGGAUUAGAUACCCUGGUAGUCCACGCUGUAAACGAUGAGUACUAGGUGUCGGGGGUUACCCCCCUCGGUGCC